AACGAACGCUGGCGGCAUGCCUAACACAUGCAAGUCGAACGAGACCUCCGUGUCUAGUGGCUCACGGGUGCGUAACGUGUCGGAACCUUCCCUUAGGCUCGGAAUAACUCCCUGUCAUGGGUGCUAAUAUCGGAUAAUUUCCUCUGAUCAAAGAUUUAUCGCCCUUGGAUGGGCCCGCGUUGGUUUAGCUAGUUGGUAGGGUAAAAGCCUACCAAGGCGACGAUCCAUAGCUGGUUUGAGAGGAUGAUCAGCCACACUGGGACUGAGACACGGCCCAGACUCCUACGGGAGGAAGCAGUGGGGAAUAUUGGACAAUGGGCGAAAGCCUGAUCCAGCAAUGCCGCGUGAGUGAUGAAGGCCUUAGGGUUGUAAAGCUCUUUUACCCGGGAUGAUAAUGACAGUACCGGGAGAAUAAGCUCCGGCUAACUCCGUG
rnacentral:rRNA from 1 species